rnacentral:rRNA from 1 species
CCUACGGGUGGCAGCAGUGGGGAAUAUUGCACAAUGGGGGAAACCCUGAUCCAGCGACGCCGCGUGAGUGAAGACGUAUUUCGGUACGUAAAGCUCUAUCAGCAGGGAAGAAAAUGACGGUACCUGACUAAGAAGCCCCGGCUAACUACGUGCCAGCAGCCGCGGUAAUACGUAGGGGGCAAGCGUUAUCCGGAUUUACUGGGUGUAAAGGGGGCGUAGACGGCAGCGCAAGUCUGUAGUGAAAUCCAAUGGCUUAACCAUGGAACUGCUUUGGAAACUGUGCAGCUGGAGUGCAGGAGAGGUAAGCGGAAUUCCUAGUGUAGCGGUGAAAUGCGUAGAGAGUAGGAGGAACACCAGUGGCGAAGGCGGCUUACUGGACUGUAACUGACGUUGAGGCUCGAAAGCGUGGGGAGCAAACAGGAUUAGAGACCCCAGUAGUC